rnacentral:rRNA from 1 species
UGGGGAAUAUUGGACAAUGGGCGCAAGCCUGAUCCAGCCAUGCCGCGUGAGUGACGAAGGUCUUCGGAUUGUAAAGCUCUUUUUGGCGGGGACGAUAAUGACGGUACCCGCAGAAUAAGCCCCGGCUAACUUCGUGCCAGCAGCCGCGGUAAUACGAAGGGGGCUAGCGUUGUUCGGAAUCACUGGGCGUAAAGCGCACGUAGGCGGAUGUGCCAGUCAGGGGUGAAAUCCCGGAGCUCAACUUCGGAACUGCCUCUGAUACAGCACGUCUUGAGUCCGAUAGAGGUGGGUGGAAUUCCUAGUGUAGAGGUGAAAUUCGUAGAUAUUAGGAAGAACACCGGUGGCGAAGGCGGCCCACUGGAUCGGUACUGACGCUGAGGUGCGAAAGCGUGGGGAGCAAACAGGAUUAGAUACCCACGUAGUCCCUGAGCGGGCUGGCAAGGCGCAU